UAGGGAAUCUUGCGCAAUGGGGGAAACCCUGACGCAGCAACGCCGCGUGGGUGAGGAAGGCCUUCGGGUUGUAAAACCCUGUCAUGAGGGACAAAGGGUCGCGUCUCUAAUAGACUCGCGAUUUGAUGGUACCUCAAGAGGAAGCACCGGCUAACUUCGUGCCAGCAGCCGCGGUAAUACGAAGGGUGCUAGCGUUGUUCGGAAUUAUUGGGCGUAAAGGGCGUGCAGGCGGUUUCGCAAGUCAGCUGUGAAAGCCCAGGGCUUAACCCUGGAAGUGCGGUUGAAACUGCGAAACUAGAGUCCCAGAGGGGAGAACGGAAUUCCGCAUGUAGAGGUGAAAUUCGUAGAGAUGCGGAGGAACAUCAGUGGCGAAGGCGGUUCUCUGGAUGGUGACUGACGCUGAGACGCGAAAGCGUGGGGAGCAAACA
rnacentral:rRNA from 1 species